ACCUACAGCCAUGCCACCCUGAAUGUGCCUGAUCUUGUCUGAUCUUAGAAGCUAAGCAGGUCAGGCCUGGUUAGUACUUGGAUGGGAGACCUUCUAGGAAUACCAGAUACUAUAGGCC
rnacentral:rRNA from 1 species